CUCGGGGCAGGGAGACCACUGGAUGGGAAGCUGGGAGGCCCGUGUGCAGCCCUGGUGCCAACACUAACCAGCCCUUCUGUGCUUCUGGAUCAGGAGUGUUGAACUACUGAGGAUGUUGAUGUGUCCGGAAUUGGCGGGUUCUUGGUCUCACUGACCUCAAGAAUGAAGCUGUGGACCCUCACAGCUGGAGUGAGAUGGCACCAUAUCAGCUCACUGCAACUUCCGCCUCCCGGGUUCAAGCGAUUCUCCUGCCUCAGCCUCCUGAGUAGCUGGGAUUACAGGUAUGCACCACCACACCUGGCUAAUUUUUGUAUUUUUAGUAGAGCUGCGGUUUCACCAUGUUGGCCAGGCUGGUCUUGAACACCUGACCUCAAGUGAUCUGCCUGCCUUGGCCUCCCAAAGUGCUAGGAUUACAGGCAUGAGCCACCACGUCUGGCCAUCAGCAUCUUUAAAAGAAAGGGGAUACAAAGCACGGAGUGCCAGAGCCUGCACCCCAGUUUCCUUAUUGUCUUUCUCCUGGCACUAAGGCAGCAGUGACAGGCCAAAUUGUCCAUGUUGCAUAUAUCAGGAGGUAAGUGUUUCAAAUACUGUUUGGAGGGAUUUCAGGGGAAACAUUUUCAGGGACUUGACUUGCAAGAAUGAUUUAUGAAGAAAGAUGAAAAAAGCUAAAUAUAUAUGGGCUGGCAAGUAUGAAAAGAGCAAGAAAGGAAGGGAGGAAGGCAGCAUAAAUUAAAACACACAGACAGCCUGAUUUUUCCAGAAAUCCUGGAGAGGAGGGCCGCAAUGGGAGGCAAAGGGAGGCAUGACUCAGAUCCAGUUGA